UAAGGCCCAGGAGCGCUGCAGC
rnacentral:miRNA from 1 species